GAAUUUUGAAAAUUCCGAUUCUAUUUGCCUAAGGCAUGCGCUAUGGCGGAUGGAACGACAGGGUGCUUGAGAAAACGAAGGCGCCUCCCAUUGUGGAAAGGAGUUUGAAUUUGUAUACA
rnacentral:ncRNA from 2 species